CGUGCCUGGAAAUGGAACACGAGAACGGCUUCAGCGUCUCAUGUUCCCUGCUGCAUAAAGCGCGGUGGAAUUAGCUCGCUAGCUAACUAGCCCACUCCGCGGAGGUCAAAGUGCGUCUACCUCACUCCACCGGAGAUGAUUCACGACGCAAACACCGGCCGAAGGCGUGUUUGGUGAGAAGAAACCUUUAGUCAUCGACCUGCUCGUCCAUGGUGAUCACGUGACGCACCUCGGCCGCAGCCACUCCGAUGUCGGCACCUUUCACACAGUGGCUCGGUGCAAAAAGUCACUGCACGCUUCUUGUUGGCUUUGUUCCGACCUCUUAAUUUACCCCCCCGACGGCGAGAUUGUGUUUCUGGUUUUUGUUCGUUUGUCUGGAUUAUCGCUGCACUCGGCGGGAAGGUGAGCCGCCGGCCAAAGGAAGGAGCCGUGGCAUUUGGGAGUGGAUCCGCAUCACUGGGCCGGUACCUGGACUUUGCAGAACUGCAGGAUUAGCGAACAAUAAAA
ensembl:lncRNA